rnacentral:lncRNA from 1 species
GUGUCUGGAAGGUGGUGGUCCAAGGCCAUUUUGGCUGCCUAUAAGCAGGGUCUCCAGAACCAAAGGGAGCACACAGUUCUUCUUAAUUGAAGGUGUUUAUGUUCAAGAUGAAACUGAAUUCUAUUUGGGUAAGAGACAUGCUUAUGUAUACAAAGCAAACAACAACACAGUAACUCCUGGUGGCAAACCAAACCAAACCAGAAUCAUCUGAGGGAAGGGCAUUCAGGCCCACAGAAACAGUGGCAUGAUUCAUGCCAAAUUCUGAAGCAAUCUUCCUGCUAAGACCACUGGACACAGAGUCCCUGUGAUGCUGUCCCUCUCAAGGA